AGCAACGCGAAGAACCUUACCAGGUCUUGACAUCCCAUUGACCGCUAUGGAGACAUAGCUUUCCCUUCGGGGACAGUGGUGACAGGUGGUGCAUGGUUGUCGUCAGCUCGUGUCGUGAGAUGUUGGGUUAAGUCCCGCAACGAGCGCAACCCUUGAUCUUAGUUGCCAUCAUUCAGUUGGGCACUCUAAGGUGACUGCCGGUGAUAAACCGGAGGAAGGUGGGGAUGACGUCAAAUCAUCAUGCCCCUUAUGACCUGGGCUACACGCGUGCUACAAUGGACGGUACAAACGGUUGCCAACCCGCGAGGGGGAGCUAAUCCGAUAAAACCGUUCUCAGUUCGGAUUGUAGGCUGCAACUCGCCUACAUGAAGCCGGAAUCGCUAGUAAUCGCGGAUCAGCAUGCCGCGGUGAAUACGUUCCCGGGCCUUGUACACACCGCCCGUCACACCACGAGAGUUUGUAACACCCGAAGUCGGUGAGGUAACCUUUUGGGGCCAGCCGCCGAAGGCGGGA
rnacentral:rRNA from 1 species